rnacentral:lncRNA from 1 species
AUGACAUGAUAUGUCGUAUGAGAGGAAAACAAUUAUUACCAUUCAUAUAAUAGGCCUAAAAGUUUAAAUUCACUACAUUUUCAAAUGUCUCUACGAAGUAGAGCUUAUACAAAAUCAUCUCUUUUAUCAUUUGAUGCGUCAAAGAACAAUAUCAUGAUAUUCUUAUUAUCGAUCAUUUUCUUCGCAGCUUGAUACCUUUGUACUCUGAAAAUUCCAAAAAUAUUGGAAAGCUCCUCAUUGAGUUUCUUUUUUUUGCUCCAUUAGAUUGUCUUUACAAAUUGCUUGACUAAAUAUUUUUGACGGUUUCAUGAAGUUGGGUAGCUAUCAUCCUUGAAACACUAUAAACAACCUCUGCAACUGGAUCCAUACUUCUACUUCUUUUCUUUGAAGAUUUUUUACUUGUAGACUCAUCAAAAUUAGUGCCUUGUAGCAUUGAUGAACCAUUCUAUAAUGAUGUAGAGAACAAGAAGAGGGAGAUAGAGUGUCAGAAAAAGUUUUAUACACAACUAUAUAUAGCAAUUUCAUCGUUCAAGUCAAUAUUGUGUGCCUUAAAUAUCUUAGUCAAUGACAAUCCCAUAUGCCAUAAAUCCUUUAUUAACACAAUUAAUCAUAAAUGACACAAGAAAAUAUGACAAGUUGAAUGGAACAUAGAAAAUCAGUAUAUAGCACAUAAGUUGUGGAAGUGGUUAAUAUGAAGUGAAUUUCAUAGUAAGUUCACUUCAUGCUCAAUACAGUGCUGACACGCAGACGGAGAGAUCACCCUCCCACCUGUGUGUCACCACUGUAUUGUGCGUAAAGUGAACUUACAAUAAAAUCAUGCUAACCAGGUCUGUAAGUUGCACAUCAUUUAACCUUAAAAUUUCUUAAAAUUGACUUGUGAAAAUUUAGUAAACUCAUAAAAACAUCAAUUUUGACAAGUCCAAGCAUAUACUUGUUAUAUCAAAUAGGGAGAGUUCAACUACAAGUAUAAUAUCAACUUAUAGAAAAUGGAAAGAAAACAGAAAAUAAAAGGAGUACAGUACAAUUAUAUACUUGUUGUUAUCUUUUAGUCAAAUUAUCAAACAUUUAGAAGACAAACAUGGAGGAUACUAUAGCAAAACAAACGAAAAUGCAAAUAAUUAAUGAAAUUAAACAUGGAAUUGAAAGAGUAGAGUAUAUAUACAUAUAUAUAUGGAACGAGAAUGAUAAAUCUAGAUUCAAACAGUCCAUUAUGGAAAUUGAAAGCUAGAUUCAAGUGUUACUUAUGGUAUGUAGAUUAAUUCGAUAUGAGAACGAGAUUGAUGAAAAUAUUGAACGAGAAUGAUGAAGAAAACCAGAUUAAUAAUACCUUUAUUCUCCUCUAGUGAUUUGCUUGAUUAAUUCGAUGUGAGAACGAGAUUGGUGCUAAUUUGCUUAGGGAGAGAAGUUAUUAUGAAGAGAAGGUACCUUAGGGCUGAGGAUGAGAAGUUCCACUAAUGGAAGAUGAUAAAGUCGAGUGAAAAUGAACGAAAUAAACCCAUCUAUUUAGAAAAAAAAUAAAAAAUAACUUUUAAAUUUGAAAAAAAAUAAUUAAAAGAAUGUAAUGCUCGUCGGAAUUAACUAACCUAACAUGUUUUAAGUCAUUUUACAAGGAAUGACCAUUCUAUUCC